GGGUCAGGGGCCGUCGGGGCGGGGCUACGGGCCCUCACCGGCUGACUCUAGUGCCUGCGGGUGGCACUACAAACUAGUUUGUCCCAGCGUCGCGGAUAGGUCUUCUGGCGCGGGAACUAUCCUACGGAAGGAUCGGGAGAUAAACGACUAGUGAUGGAGGUGAGGUAACUGAGGCUGUCAGAGAGCGAAACUCAUUUGCGCACAGCUGCGGACAGCUGAGAAGUGGUCAAGUCGUAACUGGAACGCAGAAAAAGUUUAAUGAAGACAAUGACUAUCAGUUACCUUUUAUUCUUCAUGAAGUAGCUGAAUGAGAGCAGGACAUGAUUGGAGGAACUGUGAGGAAAUGGAGGCCCAGAGUUAUCAAUGGAAGAGGGUGGCAAUGUAAUAUUUUCCCUGUGUAAGGCCACUAAAGGGCUUCAUCCUCCCAGGGGAGGUGGAGUGAGUCUGAACUCCACGAGGGCAGAGUACAGGUACUGGAUACCCCCGGCUCUCCAGCGUCUGUAGAGCACGUGGCACAUAGUAGGCAUUCAGAAAUGAUUUGUGAAACAAACGAAUGAGACAGUUGCUGCCCUACGUUCGUAAUCAGUACCAAGGAGGAGAAGAUCAAGGGACUCUAGCCAUGCGGGGAAGUCCGGCUUCUGACCUAGCCCAGUGUCCUGCUUACAUGAAGGCCAUGAGAAGGGCCAGGAAGAGUCAUGCCUUGAGUCACCGCUCACAGGGACCAGAACACACACAGGACCUGUAGGCUCGGCCAGGGAAUUCAGAUACUCCCCCCAACCGCUGGCAGCCAUAAAGGGACUGAAGAGAAUCACAAGGUCAGAAGUGAAUUGCAAACGGUUUGUCUUAUGCACUGAGCCAGGAUUUGACUCAACGUCAGCGGAUGGGUCACGGGUCAAGAUGCUGGACUGAACUGUCCACUUCUCCUCCUAAGAACAUUCCCUCAAGUGCUGGACCCAUACUGACC